ensembl:lncRNA
GAGACGGUACACACACCAGCUCAGUUCUAACAUCAGCCUCCCACCAGAUGGCCAGGAUGUUCUGAGAAACGUGUCUCAAUCUUCUCCACCAGGGUAUAGAGUGGAGAAGAGGACAGAGGGGUUGUUCUGAGAUGCGGACCAGAAGGUCGUGAGUUCAAAUCCCAGCACUGCAUACAGCUGCCACUGCUGGACUCUUGAGCAAGACCCUGAACCCUGAACUGCUCAGCUGUAUCAAUGAAAUAAAUGUAUAAGGGUAUCUGCCAAAUGGCGUAAAUGUACACUCGUCGUCCACUUUAUUAGGAACACCUGCACAUUCAUGCUGUUAUCCAGUCAGCCAAUCGUGUGGCAGCAGCACAAAGCAAAAAUGCUUGCAGAUACAGGGC